rnacentral:rRNA from 1 species
CCUGGUUGAUCCUGCCAGUAGUCGUAUGCUUGUCUCAAAGAUUAAGCCAUGCAUGUCUCAGGGCAAGCCAAAUUAAGGUGAAACCGCGAAUGGCUCAUUAAAUCAGUUAUGGUUCCUUAGAUCGUACCCACAUUUACUUGGAUAACUGUGGUAAUUCUAGAGCUAAUACAUGCAAACAGAGUUCCGACCAGAGAUGGGAGGAAUGCUUUUAUUAGAUCAAAACCAAUCGGUGGCGGGUUCGUCCCGUCCACCGUUUGCCUUGGUGACUCUGAAUAACUUUGUGCUGAUCGCACGGUCUCGUACCGGCGACGCAUCUUUCAAAUGUCUGCCUUAUCAACUGUCGAUGGUAGGUUCUGCGCCUACCAUGGUUGUAACGGGUAACGGGGAAUCAGGGUUCGAUUCCGGAGAGGGAGCCUGAGAAACGGCUACCACAUCUAAGGAAGGCAGCGGGCGCGCAAAUUGCUCACUCCCGGCACGGGGAGGUAUUGACGAAAAAUAACAAUACGGGACUCACCCGAGGCCCCGUAAUCGGAAUGAGUACACUUUAAAUCCUUUAACGAGGAUCCAUUGGAGGUCAAGCCUGGUGCCAGUAGCCGCAGUAAUUCCAGCUCCAAUAGCGUAUAUUAAAGUUGUUGCGGUUAAAAAGCUCGUAGUUGAAUCUGUGUCCCACGCUGUCGGUUCAUCGCUCGCGGUGUUUAACUGGCAUGACUGUGGGACGUACUACCGGUGGGCUUAGCUCCUCACGGGGGGCGGCCCAACUAAUAUCCCAUCGCGGUGCUCUUUACCGAGUGUCGAGGUGGGCCGGUACGUUUACUUUGAACAAAUUAGAGUGCUUAAAGCAGGCUACCUUCGCCUGAAUACUGCGUGCAUGGAAUAAUGGAAUAGGACCUAAAUUAGAGUGCUUAAAGCAGGCUACUUUCACCUGAAUACUGCGUGCAUGGAAUAAUGGAAUAGGACCUCGGUUCUAUUUUGUUGGUUUUCGGAACCCCGAGGUAAUGAUUAAUAGGGACAGAUGGGGGCAUUCGUAUUGCGACGUUAGAGGUGAAAUUCUUGGAUCGUCGCAAGACGGACAGAAGCGAAAGCAUUUGCCAAAAAUGUUUUCAUUAAUCAAGAACGAAAGUUAGAGGUUCGAAGGCGAUCAGAUACCGCCCUAGUUCUAACCAUAAACGAUGCCAGCUAGCGAUCCGCCGAAGUUCCUCCGAUGACUCGGCGGGCAGCUUCCGGGAAACCAAAGCUUUUGGGUUCCGGGGGAAGUAUGGUUGCAAAGCUGAUGAAGGCGAUCAGAUACCGCCCUUGUUCUAACCAUGAACGAUGCCAGCUAGCGAUCCGCCGAAGUUCCUCCGAUGACUCGGCGGGCAGCUUCCGGGAAACCAAAGCUUUUGGGUUCCGGGGGAAGUAUGGUUGCAAAGCUGAAACUUAAAGGAAUUGACGGAAGGGCACCACCAGGAGGGGAGCCUGCGGCUUAAUUUGACUCAACACGGGAAACCUCACCAGGCCCGCACACCGGAAGGAUUGACAGAUUGAUAGCUCUUUCUUGAUUCGGUGGGUGGUGGUCAAUGGCCGUUCUUAGUUGGUGGAGCGAUUUGUCUGGUUAAUUCCAAUAACGAACGAGACUCUAGCCUGCUAAAUAGGCGGGUGGUGGUGCAUGGCCGUUCUUAGUUGGUAGAGCGAUUUGUCUGGUUACGUCCGAUAACGAACGAGACUCUAGCCUGCUAAAUAGGCGUAAUUCAUGGUAUCUCGAAGGCCCUCGACUUCGGUCGGGCGGUUUUUACUACCGACGUACAAACAAAUCUUCUUAGAGGGACAGGCGGCUUCUAGCCGCACGAGAUUGAGCAAUAACAGGUCUGUGAUGCCCUUAGAUGUUCUGGGCCGCACGCGCGCUACACUGAAGGAAUCAGCGUGUCUUCCCUGGCCGAAAGGCCCGGGUAACCCGCUGAACCUCCUUCGUGCUAGGGAUUGGGGCUUGCAAUUAUUCCCCAUGAACCAGGAAUUCCCAGUAAGCGCGAGUGAUAAGCUCGCGUUGAUAACGUCCCUGCCCUUUGUACACACCGCCCGUCGCUACUACCGAUUGAAUGAUUUAGUGAGGUCUUCGGACUGGUGCGCGGCAAUGUUUCGGCAUUGCCGAUGUUGCCGGGAAGAUGACCAAACUUGAUCAUUUAGAGGAAGUAAAAGUCGUAACAAGGUUUCCAUAGGUGAACCUGCGGAAG